rnacentral:rRNA from 1 species
GUACAAAGGUAGCAUAAUCAUUAGGGGUUUAAUUGGAACCUGGUAUGAAGGGUUGGACAAAGGAAAAACUGUCUUUCUGAUAUAAGUUGAAAUUUACUUUUAAGUGAAAAGGCUUAAAUUAAUCAAAGGGACGAUAAGACCCUAUAAAGCUUUAUAAAUAAUUUAAAUUUAAUUGAUUUAUUAAUUAAAGGCUAAAUUUAACUAUUUUAUUUUGUUGGGGUGAUGUGAGUAUAAGUUAUAUUAACUGCUUAAAAGAAAUUCUAUCAUAAAAGAGUCUAUAGUAUAGAUGAUCCUUUAUAAAGAUUAAAAGACUAAGUUACUUUAGGGGUAACAGCGUUAUUUCUUUUGAGAGUUCAUAUCGAAAAAGAAGAUUGCGACCUCGAUGUUGAAUUAAAAUGUCUAUAUAAUGCAGUCGUUAUAAGAGAGGGUCUGUUCGACCUUUAAAGUUUUACAUGAUUUGAGUUC